UACGUAGGGAGCAAGCGUUGUCCGGAAUCAUUGGGCGUAAAGAGCGCGUAGGCGGGCCCUUAAGUGGGGGGUGAAAGGUUGGGGCUCAACCCCAACACUGCCUUUCAUACUGGGGGCCUUGAGUGCGGGAGAGGCGAGUGGAAUGGUCGGUGUAGCGGUGAAAUGCGUAGAUAUCGAUCGGAACACCCAUGGCGAAGGCAGCUCGCUGGCCUGCAACUGACGCUGAGGCGCGAAGCCGGGGAGCGAACAGG
rnacentral:rRNA from 1 species